UCUGUUGAUUUCAUUGGCUGAGCAAUAAAAGAAACUGCUUGGCUGGCCCUCAGCUUGGAACAUAGAUGGGAGGAGUAAACAGAAUAGAAUUCUGGGCGGAAGAGGAAGUGAGGUCAGACUCUGCUCUGCUUCCGGAGAGACCCGACAGCUCUGCUGGAGCAGAGACGCCAUGCUCAGCUCUCCCAGGCAGCUGCAACCCACGAUGGACUUAGGCUAGAAUCUUCCCGGGUGGAAGAGUAACUGGUAAACCGCGGAGUCCUCUCUGUGCACAGUCAGGAGCAUACUUUGCCUCUGAGGAGUCCAUCGGCCGAUAUUAACAUGGAGAAAGAGAAAGAACAGGUUGACAGGAAGCCCCGGAUCUCCUCUGGCUCAGUUCAGGAGCUCAUUGAGGAAGGAGUCUUGCUGUAAAGUACACCUCUUUCCUUCCGACGACAGUGACAACCAAGGCGACUUGAAUCAGGGGGCAAGCAGCUCUCCUUUGACAAACAAACACCCACUCUGAAGCGUUGGCCCCGAAGCAGAAUCUCCCAUCAGCUAACUGAGGAAUUUCUUCUCUGCUCCUCCUAAACACUGAAAAUAAUCUGAAAUUCUCCCCUAUGAGAAGGAAAUUUAAUAUUUAAAGACUCCCUCGAAGUCCCACUGUGUGGGGAUACUGGAGAUGGCUCGUUUCUGCAGUACCACAGAGGCCACCGCAGGAGGUGGCGGUACCUUCCCUCAUGGCUGCCAAGGAGAAUUUCUCUGUUAGUAAGUAAAAUAAACCUCAACAAGUUGAGGCAAGAGAGGUAUCUUAGCAGUACCCGCCACACAUAUGCACAAAUGUAGGCAAUGCAAUGCACUCAUACACGGGAAGUAAAAAUAAAAAUAUCUCUAGAAAACCCCAUCUAGAUGAGUACUUGGAGAGAAACUUCUGAAGGGAAAUGUUUUAGAGAGAGAUGCUUUCACCUGAGAGAGUCACCUGAAAGGGAGAGGUUUCUUGUCAUUUGUGGUUGCUGGCCUCAGUGUGGGGCAGCAGAGUUCAUGGUGUGCAUACGUGGGGAAAGAUGGUUGAGGUGGCACCUUAAAGUGGAGAGAGAGAGAGAGAGAGAGAGAGAGAGAGAGAGAGAGAGAGAGAGAGAGGCGAAGGUAUCUGUGUCCUGUCCCAAUUUCCCCAGUAAAAACAGGCUUCCAAAAAAGCUUUGCUUAGACCCUCUGUAGUAUAGGAUCCCCUGCUUCCCAAUAGCACUAAGGGUUGAAGACUAAGCCUCCCACACAUGAACAUAUGAAGGACAUUUAUAAUGUAAACUAUAGGAGAAAGAGGAUUACGCUUAAUGCUAUUCUGCUAAUAAUUUUGGAUGAGAAGAAAAAUAAAAUGCUUUUAACACUACCGCUUACACGGUGAAGAAAGGAGCCGUGAACUUCGUUAAACCGUUUCAACAGGGAAGCGACAUCUGUCUACAGCUGGAUGGAGAGCAGGGAGCCAAGCAUUCCCAAGGAAGAGAAACUAUGACUCACUCAGACACAGAAGGAGAAGAUGUUCCCAGUGCUACCGGCUCUCAGGAUGUAUACCAUCCUGAAACCUUUGUGGGAAAAGGUUUCAAACGUAUCCUAAUGAAAGUGAAGAGAAUCAAGACGACAGCCACAGGAGCUAAGAGAAGAUAAUACAAAGUACAGAAGGAAGAGACAGGCAAGAAAUCCUCACCAAGGCCAGUCUUGAAGAGGAUUUCAAACACGUGUAGCUAACUUCAGUUAAAGAAUAUAAUUGGUACAUCAAAAGUGAUUUUUGUAAGGGUAGAUUAAUAAACAAAAAAAACCGUCAUGAAUAUAGAUUUCAAAUCUGAUUUUAUUGAAAAGAGGAGGAAGCAUAAAAAUAAAUGCAAGAUGGGGAGCCAUCAACUUACGAGAAUUAAUGACAACAAAUGAGGAUGAAAGUACAGAGGACGCAAGUGUCCUUGUGAUGAGGGGGCGCAGAAGCGAGCAAAAUGUCCAGAAUCAUCCCAAGACAAACUUUUUCUGUUAACAAUUGCAAUCGUUUUCUUUUAAAAAUAGAG